UGGUUCAGUGGCCUGGUGGUCGAAUUCUGCAUCGCCAUGAACUAGACACCUUCCUUGCACAGGCAGUGUCAACCCAGCUUUAUGAACCAGAUCAACUCCAAGAACUGAAGAUUGAGAAACUGGAUGCCCGAGGGAUCCAGCUUGCUGCCCUGUUCAUGAGUGGGGUCGACACAGCUCUGUUUGCUAAUGAUGCCUGUGGCCAGCCAGUCCCUUGGGAGCAUUGCUGCCCCUGGAUUUACUUUGAUGGCAAGCUGUUCCAGAGCAAGCUUAUUAAAGCAGGCCGAGAGCGAGUAUCCCUGGUUGAACUCUGUGAUGGCCAGGCUGACCUGGCAACCAAAGGGAAAAGAUGAGACAGAGUAUCCGUUGAAGGAGUCACAUGAAUCAUCCACCACCUUCUGCUCUACUUCCAUCACCUACUUUUUGUGCCUCCAUGGUGCCC